GUAUUUCAAGUUAAUGUGAUUAAUAUUUUAAAAUGAUAGGAAUCGAGAUUAUUCCUAUUAUUCAAACUGUUUCAUAACCUUUGUUCGGUUAUGGAAGUUUUAAAAGAAUGUUUGAAUUCUUAAAGUUGUUUGUUCAACUGUUAUAACUUGCUGGGCAAUUGAAUGCUCACACUUGCUUUAAAUAAAAAUAUUUUCAGCGUACGAUGUUAGAAGAAC
rnacentral:lncRNA from 1 species